GGAGGGGGCUUGCUCCCGAAGGCGGUGUAUCUGCCGACAUUCGUUUUGAAUGUCAGUCCGCUUUCGGGAGCAAGCCCCCUCC
rnacentral:antisense_RNA from 1 species